rnacentral:lncRNA from 1 species
UGCAAUAAAACAGGAAACCUCAAAUUAAGUGUGGAGUUAUUACAUAAAUCGGAGUUUUUGCAUAGCAAAUAAAGUUCACAAAAUAAAGUGCAGCGGAUAAUUGAUGUCGUCGGUAUCGAGGAAUCGGGCAAGGCCUAGCCCACUACUCCUUGUGCUCCUCUCCUGCCGGAGCAACAUCCCACUCGACCGUCCAACCCGGUGGCAGGGUGGUAGGCCAAGUCACACCAUCAACCAUUUCCUGAAUGGUACCUGCAAAAAUUGUGCCACAAGCAAGGCUGAGUAUACUAAUACUCAGCUAGACUUAACCGGUGUGAGGAGUCUACUCCUCUACCUCUAGAUUAUGCAGCUGUUUGGCUGAGGGGUUUGGUUUGCCAAAAGCACUAGCUGUUUCUAAAAGCAAAUUUUAGCUUUUCCAAUUCUAUCAUCAUUAACUUAGCUAGAUUUGCUCCUUCUAAGCAUACAUGGUAACAAUCAAUUAGUUCAAUCAACAAGUUAUCUCAUGUAACCACAUUUCACUUCUUACUCGAUGCAGUACAAGGAAUCAAGCAGUCUCAUUAGCUGCGAGAAGCAGACGGUUCGAAUCGAGUUUUAACCUUGCAAGGUAAACCUAAACACACGGCAUGUCAGGGUACUCCGACCCCACACAUGACAACCGUCCCCAUCGAUUCCCCGUUCGUGUCCAGGCCUCACCGCCUUGGCAUACAAUGCUCCACUGACCCCGGCUGCCGCCGUGCAGUGACCGCACUUGUACCCACCAUAGCUAGCACGGGAGACCCAGUCUCAGGUCGCAUGAGGGAUAAAGUUCGCGCCCGGCUUCACUCAGGUACUAGGUUUACCGGUUACCAUUUUUCCCGGCAUGUGCUUAGUACGUUCAAAAGCUUGAAUCAGGUAUCCACACAUUAAUCCUUAAUUCAUUUUUCCCGUCUCAUGGAAAGGCAUCCUCCCUGGAUCCAAGUCCAUAGACUAACAUAUAUCCCAUUAUCAAGAUGAAUACAAUCAAUUCCUGACCUCGUGUGAGUGCUAGAAAAAUCACUCGACUUCUACCGAGAUCCUGAUUAGCAAGCAGCUACUCGACUUAGCAUACUAGUAUUCAUCUCAAAAGGAAUCCUAAGUUCAUGCAACUAGAGGUUUCAAGCAACUCCUACACUUAAGUGCACAUUACAAUCCUACAAGCAUUAAGUGUAGUAAAGUAGCAUAUAAUAACAUGGUUAUGCAUAAAACCGGGGCUUGCCUUCAAUUGCUGGGGCUGCGGGGAGAUCCUCAAUAGCAGCCUCUGAAGCCUGCUCCUGGUCCUCCUCUUGGACAGGUCCUUGCUCGGGGAUGAGCACGUACUCUCCGUCAGUAAGAUUACAAUCUAAUGAAUGCAAUGCGUAAGAUGUAUGUAUGAUAUGAUAUGUGCUUUUAGAAAUCCCAACUUUAAAGGUGCAUGAUCUUUCUUGAGUUAAACAAGGUUAACUUUACUUAUGUAAGACCCUUUAGUGGUAUACUUGGUAAAUUGGUUUAAACUUAGCUAAGGUAAGUAGAUUAAAUUUUUGGGGUUCCACUGAAUUCCUUUUAAGUCUUAGUGAGAAUUGAUAAGUACUCAAGAUAGACUUAUUGGGGUGGGUUUUAUUUCUGCUUUCCUUUUCUUUUAUUCUCUUUAAUGUUUUGGAGUAGGUUUGAACUACAAGUUGCUUUUAUAAAAUUCUAAAAAUUCUGCAAAAAUUACAGUGGCUUGUUACUGGUGUAUGUUUUUCUGUCUCAAAAUUUGGGGAUCAGAAAGUGUAUAGUUUUCUCUGGACAAAAUUAUUAAAUUCUAGGGCAGAAGGGGUGCUUUGAACUACAACUAUUAUUUAACAGUGGGCAAUUCUCCAAAACUUAUUUUUGCUGGCUUUUAGGUGUUAUAACAUGACUUGAUACAAAUUUCUAAUCAUUAAUACCUUUUAAUUAUUUUUUCUAUGGUUUUCUCAAGUUUCUAGCCAAAUGGGUGCUUUCUACUACCACUAUAUUUGAAAAACAUCAAACAACAGGGUGCUUAUUUUUCUUAGUUAUUGUUUUGUGCAAGAGCAAUCAUUUUGAAGUUUGGCCUCUUUUUGCUUAAGGGAAGGGGUGGUAUGUAUUAUUUGAAUUAAGUGGCCUUUCUCUUAAAUCAUUAGCAAUUGGUAUGAGUUUGCUUCCUUUUCAUGGGUUGGCAUUUUUCUCUGGUAGUUUAUCCCAUCAUGGACUUAGCAAAUUUUUGGUUUCCCAUUAUCACAUUAAUAGGGGUUGUUCAUGAUUUAUUUGAAAAAUGCCUUAUUAUCACUUUGUAUUUAUUUUCCUUACUUAAAAAGUUGGGCUGGGGUGCUCUGUAUUUUUGUAGUGGGGCUCUAAUGGUUGUAAGUCCACUGGAUUUUUAUUAAUCAUUUUGGUUAUAGUUUUGCUACUCUAAUAAUUGAUUCUCAGUCCAAAUAAGGCUAAAUAAAUCAUUUUAAUUUAAAACUGGUCCAAAUUAAUGGUCUCUGUAUUUUUCCUAGGUUCUCUGUUACAUAAAUAAACUAGGAAAAAUAAUCUUAAUCAUUGUUCAUUAAUUUCUAAUGCCUUUCUGAUUUUCUCUAAGUUUUGAACAAAAUAGCUUUAAAUGAAUAACUACAUCAUAAUUUCUAAUGCUGGGGUUCCUACUAUUUUUAAACAGUGUCUAAAUGAGGUUUGAACAUCUACAAAUUUUCUUAAGUUCAGCACAGAAGAAAAACUAAUUUUCCUUAAUUAAGCAAGGUUUGGUGGGUUUCUGUUUUUAAUUAAAAACUCUAAAAAUUAGAACAGAAAGCAUAGGGUUUAUUAUUUUUAAAUGAUGGUUCAUAAUAUUCAGGAGCUAGCAAAAUUGGUUUGACAACUUUUGAUUAAGAAUUCAUCAAGUUAUGGAUUUUCUAUGUUCUCUGGUCAUUUUAAAAAGAUUAACAUAAUUGAUUAAAUGGAAAUCCACUUUGCACUGGGGUCCCUGGCGGGUUUUCUAAGUUUUCCUCGCGAAUCAGUCCUUAAGCUACUAUUCACAUGAGUCACUGACGUUUCAGAAAACCCCUCGGAAUCUACAAAUCCUAACCUGAGGUCCUUCUUCUACCUUAAACAGUAACCGCGGCGGAAGAAUGGGCGGAGGGGCUUACCGGCGGCGAGGUUGCUCCGGUGAAGUGGUCGAGGACGUAGGGGAGGUCUCGGGGAUCACAACGGUGUGUGGGUCGCCGUCGGAGAUGGCCGGAGUCGGUCGGUCCACGCGCGCAGGCGAGGAUGCUCGUCGGCGGCGAGGAGUCCGGCCUGGUCACGGCGAGAUAGAGCAAUUGGAUGGGUCAGAGAGGUUCCCGGGGUGCCAGAGAAGACAUGAGCGCAAGGAAUUGGGCGGAGACUCACUGGAUAGCUCGGUCCACGCGCGGCGGCGGAAGACCGAAGUCCGGUGAGGUCGAUCUCGGGCCUCCGGUGAAGUCCGGCCGGGUCCGAGGGCUUGGCAAGCUUCACGGGCUACUGGCGGAGCUAGCCGAAGCACUGGCUUGCCCAGAGGAUGGCUAGAGUGGGCUGGCCACGAUGGCCGAAGCUCUGGCGGCAAUGGCGGGCGGAAUUGAGCUCGCCGGAGCUAAGGGAAAGUGGCUGGCCGGUGAGGGUGAGUGCGGGGCGAAGUGGGGCGCGCCUGUGAAGGCUUUAUAGGCACGGCGCGGUGCACGGGCGGUCGUGGACCGGCGAGUGCGCGCGGGCGUGCACUGGGAGGCGCGGUGCGCGAACGGGCGUGAACCGGGGGUGCCAGCCACGGUCGAACACGUGUUCCCGUUGCCUCUGCCCCUGUUCAAGCGCCGAUUGGGAGCAAAUCUUCGCGAAUUUGGGCAAGAUCGCUGUGAAGGAUUUGUUCACCUGACCAAGCUUUGUCUUUUGUGUAUGGACGUCGCGCGGUUUUAGGCUAGGGACAUGGAGUUGUAGCGUCACCAAGGUGCUAGUGUCAGAAUGCCUGGUCCCGAGGUCAAACUUCACAGUUACUUCAUUCUGAAUUAAGAUCAUAUUUUUGGAAAUUAGAUUCGAAGGGCAGGAGGAGGGGUUGGGGGUGAUUACGUACCAGCUUCCUUAGGUAGGCAAUCGGGGAAGUUGGAUCUCAAGAAUUCCUCGGUUUCCCAAGUAGCUUCCUCCUCUGAGUGAUUACUCCACUGGACCUUGUACAUCUUGAUCGAUUUAGCCCGAGUUGAUCUUUCUUUGCAAUCCAGAAUCUUGGAGGGGUACUCUUGGUACGAUAGAUCUGGCUCUAUUUCCAAUUCUGGCUCUGUUAUGAUCUCGGUCGGCAAUCGAACACACUUCUUCAGCUGAGAUACAUGGAAAACACUGUGAAUGGCAGACAUCUUUGAAGGUAACUUCAGCUUGUAUGCCACGGGUCCACAUGCUUCUAUGAUCUCAUAAGGUCCAAUGUAACGAGGGGCUAGCUUGCCUUUGAUCCCAAACCUCUGCACUCCCUUGGUGGGUGAUACCUUGAGGUAUACAAAACUUCCCACCUCGAACUGGAGAGGUUUCCUUCUUUUAUCAUGAUAGCUCUUUUGCCUGGCCUGAGCAGCUUCUAGAUUCUUCCUGAUUAACUUGACCUUCCUUUCGGCUUCAGUCACUAAAUCAGGUCCAAAAACUUCUCUUUCACCAGGUUGAGACCAAUUGAGUGGUGUCCUACACCUUCUUCCAUAGAGAGCUUCAAAAGGUGCCAUCUUUAGGCUGGAUUGAUAACUAUUGUUAUAAGCAAACUCUGCCAAGGAGAGGUGCUUAUUCCAGUUCUUGCCACAAUCGAUCGCACAAGCUCUCAGCAUAUCCUCCAGGAUUUGGUUUACCCUUUCCGUCUGACCAUCAGUCUGUGGGUGGUAAGCUGAACUCCUGAUUAGCUUGGUUCCCAAAGACUCUUGCAAUUGUUCCCAAAAUCUGGCAACAAAUUGGGCUCCUCGGUCAGAAACAAUGGUCCGAGGUAAUCCGUGCAAACACACGAUCCGGUCAAUAUACAAUUCUGCAUAUUUCUGAGCCUUAUCAGUGGUGUGCACAGGAAGAAAAUGUGCUACUUUCGUCAAUCGGUCCACAAUAACCCAAAUUGAAUCAUCAUGACGAGAGGUGCUGGGCAGACCCACAAUGAAAUCCAUGCUGAUGUCAUCCCACUUCCACGAAGGUACGGACAGUGGAUGCAAAGCUCCAGCUGACUUCAAGUGGCUUGCCUUUAUCCUCUGACAGGUGUCACAUUCUGAUACAUACUGGGCUAUCUCCCUCUUCAUUCUGGUCCACCAGUACAAAAGCUUCAAAUCAUGGUACAUCUUGGUGCUUCCCGGAUGCAUAGAGAAUUUGGAGAGAUGAGCCUCAUCCAAAAUUUUCCUCUUGAGGUCCUGGUCUUUAGGAAUCACCAAUCUGCUUUUGAACCAUAACACACCCUUUUCAUCUUAGCGGAAACAAUUAUACUUCUCAACCUUCUGAUGGAGAUUCUUCUUGAUAAUCUGCACUCCCUUGUCACUGAGCUGGGCCAUGAUAAUCUGGUCUUGCAAAGCUGGCUCAACAGAAAUGUGAGACAAAGAACCAGAAGGAAUCACUUCAAUUUGCAUCUUGCUCAACUCAUCACACAAGGUGUUAAUGCGAGAAUCCAUCAGAACACAAUUGCAUUGCAACUUCCGACUCAAGGCAUCUGCUACCACAUUAGCUUUUCCGGGGUGAUAUUGUACCUCUAGGUCAUAAUCCUUGAUCAGCUCUAGCCAUCUUCUCUGCCUCAUGUUGAGAUCAGCCUGAGUAAAAAUGUACUUAAGGCUCUUAUGAUCAGUGAAGAUGUUGCAGUGGGUUCCCAUUAGAUAGUGCCUCCACAUCUUCAAUGCAUGAACCACUGCUGCUAGCUCGAGGUCAUGAGUGGGAUAGUUUUGCUCAUGAGGACUGAGUGCUCUUGAGGCAUAAGCAAUGACUCGGUUGUCUUGCAUCAAGACACAACCUAGCCCGGUGCCCGAGGCAUCGCAAUACACAUCAAAAGGCUUGCUGCUGUCGGGUUGCGCCAAUACUGGUGCUGUGGUCAGAUGCUGCCUUAAUGCAUGGAAGGCAUCUUCGCACUUCUGACUCCAAACAAAUUUGACUUCUUUCUUCAACAACUCAGUAAUAGGCUUCGCAAUUCGAGAGAAGUCCGGAAUAAAUCUUCGGUAAUAACCAGCUAAUCCCAGAAAACUCCGAAUCUGGCGAACAGUUGUGGGUGGCCUCCAGUUCAUCACCUCUUGCACUUUAUCAGGAUCAACAGCUAUUCCAGCCUGAGAGAUAGUGUGACCCAAGAAUUUGAUUUCCUUUAGCCAAAAAUCACAUUUGGAUAACUUGGCAUAAAGGUGGUGCUCUCGCAGACGUUGAAGCACUACAUGCAAAUGCCCGGCAUGUUCUUCUUCGUUCUUUGAGUACACCAGAAUAUCAUCGAUGAAAACCACCAUGAACUUGUCCAAUUCCAGCAUAAAAACAGAAUUCAUCAGAUACAUGAAAUAUGCUGGUGCAUUUGUCAGCCCGAAUGACAUCACCAAAAAUUCAUAUAGCCCAUAUCUGGUUGAGAAUGCCGUCUUCGGAAUAUCACUUGCUCGUAUCUUGAUCUGAUGGUAGCCAGAGCGAAGGUCUAUCUUGGAAAACACCUUGGCCCCGACCAACUGGUCAAAAAGAACAUCAAUACGAGGCAAAGGAUACUUGUUCUUGAUAGUUACCGCAUUGAGAGGGUGGUAAUCUAUACACAGCCUCAAGCUUUCAUCCUUCUUCUUCACAAACAGUGUUGGACAUCCCCAAGGCGAAGUGCUGGGGCAAAUAAAACCCUUAUCCAGCAACUCUUGCAAUUGCUUCUUCAACUCUGCCAACUCAGCGGGUGGCAUUCGGUAGGGCCUCUUGGAAAUUGGGGUCGUUCCCGGUUGCAACUCGAUGGCGAAUUCAAUAUCCCGGUCCGGUGGCAUUCCUGGCAAUUCAUCAGGAAAGACAUCUACAUACUCACAGACCACUGGGAUCUUCUUCAGGGGUAGCUCUGUCAUAGAGAAAGCACAUGACUGAGAAGAACCCUGACUAGGCAGAAUUAAAGUGAAACUCCCGCAGAAUGGAGAAUUAACUUCCACGGCACGGCUGGCUACAUCAAGCACAACUUGGUGCAAGGUCAUCCAAUUUGCUCCUAGAAUAAUGUCCACAUUUUCCAAUCCCAACACAAGAAGAGUGGUUUUGACAAUGUGGCUUCCCAGUUGAAUAGGCACACUUUGGUUUAAUUGAUUAGUUGAAAUUUUACCCCCAGGUGUGACUAUCAUGAAUGACCCUUUUGAGUGAGAGAAUGGCAGUUUGCAUUUAGCGCUGAACUUUUGGCUAAUGAAACUAUGAGAUGCACCAGAAUCAAACAGAAUUAAAGCAGGUUGAUUAUAAACUAAAAAGGUACUGGUCAUGAUAGGAGCUCCUUCAGGUACUUCCUCCAGAGUAGUGAAGUUGAGCUUCCCUUGCCUGACUUGCACCUUCUGCUUUCUUCCCUUGUCUUGAUUUGGUGCUGGCAUCUGCCUCUGCUGGUUCCUGGGACAAUUCUUGGCAUAGUGGCCCACAUUGCCACAAGUGAAACACUUGUUCCCAUUGCCCUGGCGGAACUGCUGCUGCUGCGGAGGCUGAUUGUUCCUUGGGGCGGGAGCUGGAAAGCGGUUGGGUGUCGGCUGCUGCUGCUGCUGGGGUGGCCUGAUCACCCAUCUGCCUGCCUGCUGCUGAAAACCCCUGCUCUGAUUGUGAGAAACAAUCCGGAACCUCUGAGCCUGAGCGGAUGGUGCUGCCAUUGGUGCCUUCCUCUUCUUCUCUGCCCGGUGAGCAACAAUGCAAUCCUCCUGGGAGAUGGCCAUGUUGACCAACUCAUUGAAGCUAUCAGCCCGGACAGUGUUGAGUCGUUCCCGCAGCUUGGUAUUGAGACCCCUGCGGAAGCGAUCCCUCUUCUUCUCAUCAGAAUCAGCAUGAUACCCUGCAUACUGGCAUAAGUCGUUGAAGGCUUGCACAUACUGCAGUACCGUGCGGGUUCCUUGAUUAAGGGCCAGAAAUUCAUUCAACUUCCGAUCAAGAAUGCCAGCUGGGAUGUGGUGUCCUCUGAAGGCAGUCUUGAAUUCCUCCCAAGAUACUUCACGGUCAGCGGGGAGCAUAGCACGGAAGUGGUCCCACCAAGUCCGAGCAGGGCCGCGAAGCUGUUGUGCGGCGAAGCGAGCCUUGGCUUCAUCAGGGCAGUCUCCCGUGAGGAGGGGAAACUUGGACUCGACGACACGAAGCCACACAUCGGCGUCCAACGGAUCCUCUGCUUUGGUGAACAAGGGCGGCUGCGUGCUCAGAAACUCCUGGUUAGUUGCCAUAGCCGGAGGUCGCUGAUGCUGGCCUCCACCAUGCUGCUGAGGGUGGGGCUGGCGCUGCAAGAGCUGUCGCAGAAUCUCAUUUUGCUGGGCCAUCAGCUCCUGCACUGUGGGAGCUGGAGGAGGUGGCUGGGGAACCUGCUCGUUCUGCCCGCGACGCUGCCUAGCUGCCAUCUGAAAACAAAGAUUGUCGCCAUUGUUAUCCAAACUCACAGUUUCAAACGACAAGAUAUAAUCUCAUAUGGAAGGAAAAAUGCCAUAAUCAUAAUAUUAGGUUCGAAAGGAAGAUAACAUGGUGACAAAGAUCCCACAGAUUUCAAAAGUUUACAGGGUUACAUCAAUCAGGGGAAAGUACCCAUAAGCCUAGUCCAAAAUCUGACAUUAACUAAGCUCGCAUAGGUUUCUAUCCGCCUAAAAGUGUCGAAGCGACUGCUUAACCCUGAGCGGUGGAAGCGACACUGGAUACGGGUGAAGGAGGCUUCGCGGAGGUAGUCCCAUUGGCACCAGGGGCUGGUCCUAGCUCCUCGGGAGCCUCUUCUCCCUCGCUUCCUGCUUCAUUGGCCUCCAUUUCCAGGUGGUGCAUGUCCAAGUGGUCAUUUGCUUCUUCGAGUUCCCUCUGCACAUCGUGAAGCUGGUUCUCCAAGACAUCAAUAGUGUUGUCUCGGAUCUCCACCUGCUGCUCCAGGGUGGCAAUGCGCUGGCUCAGCCUCUCCACCUGCAGAUCCUUCUCCACCAACUCCGUGGAUAGGUCGACCACAAAAUCUUCCCGACUAUCGAGAGUGAGCUUGGCAGUCUGAGCGGUGUUAGCAAGAAGUGUCAUAGUAUCGCUCUGAAGGGCCUGAAGGCGGUACAGCGCACUCAUGCACUGAACAGUGACCCUCCCAACCAAGUCAGGAUACAUCGCCCACACAUCCUUUACAUGGCUCACGCGGUUACACCACAUGGGAUCAUCCUUCUUCUCAGCAGGGAAGAGUCCCAAGGGGUGCAUCACCAUCUCCAGGGGAUGGUAGCCACAGAAAGUCGUCAGAGUCUUCAUGGCUGCUGCCUCAACGGUGUCGUCCGUCCUGAGUCCAAUCGUCUCAGAGUCAAGAGAACGCCAACCCGGCUGAAGGGGAUGAGCCUCCAAAGUCAGCCAGACCCGACAACGAGGUACCCGAUGCUCCUCAUACAACUGCACCGUGUACAAAGGGGGCGUAGGGUAACCGGCGAAGUUAAGCACUUCCCACAAGAUGGAAGGAAAGCCAUCGCGAGAAAGGAAGUCAGAACUGAAACGAGAGUCUCCUCCACUGGCGGGGGUGGGUGAAUUCAUCUACGGAAGGGAAUCAAAGGUAAAGAUUAUGGUGGAAGGAAAAAGAAAAAGAGAGCCCGGAUGGUUUUAAAGAAAGUGGGUUAGCUCAAAAUUUUAAUUCCUCUUUACGUUUUAAAAUGCAUGCAUGCUGGAAGAAACGUUGCCUCUCAAAAAGAAAAUAGGGUGUUUUUUAGGGCAUCCUUAAAAUAUAAGUACUGGCCCACGGGGCCUAAUUAGUUAGCCACCUAUUUCUCCCUCUAUGCCUAAGGCCUUUCGUCCUAGGUCUAGCGGUCUAGUCCUGACGAUCCAUAGCAGUUUCUAGGCAAGUUUUAAAUUUUGAAAAUUGGCAUUCAUGGUUUAUUGUCCUUCUCUGUGGUGGAAUUUGCUCUGAUACCAGCUGUGGCAGAACCACCCGAAUUAUUCCAGCUUAAGUGCCUAAGUCACGCCUCAGGGGGCCGUAACACACUUAAAUCGGAAUAACCCGUCAGUCCUUCAGAUCUAGUCUGAUAGAGCCACUUAACCAGGAUCAAAUUCCACAAUCUCACUCGAAGGUGAGUCACAGAAGAAAUACAAUAAAACAGGAAACCUCAAAUUAAGUGUGGAGUUAUUACAUAAAUCGGAGUUUUUGUGUAGCAAAUAAAGUUCACAAAAUAAAGUGCAGCGGAUAAUUGAUGUCGUCGGUAUCGAGGAAUCGGGCAAGGCCUAGCCCACUACUCCUCGUGCUCCUCUCCUGCCGGAGCAACAUCCCACUCGACCGUCCAACCCGGUGGCAGGGUGGUAGGCCAAGUCACACCAUCAACCAUUUCCUAAAUGGUACCUGCAAAAAUUGUGCCACAAGCAAGGCUGAGUAUACUAAUACUCAGCUAGACUUAACCGGUGUGAGGAGUCUACUCCUCUACCUCUAGACUAUGCAGCUGUUUGGCUGAGGGGUUUGGUUUGCCAAAAGCACUAGCUGUUUCUAAAAGCAAAUUUUAGCUUUUCCAAUUCUAUCAUCAUUAACUUAGCUAGAUUUGCUCCUUCUAAGCAUACAUGGUAACAAUCAAUUAGUUCAAUCAACAAGUUAUCUCAUGUAACCACAUUUCACUUCUUACUCGAUGCAGAACAAGGAAUCAAGCAGUCUCAUUAGCUGCGAGAAGCAGACGAUUCGAAUUGAGUUUUAACCUUGCAAGGUAAACCUAAACACACGGCAUGUCAGGGUACUCCGACCCCACACAUGACAACCGUCCCCAUCGAUUCCCCGUUCGCGUCCCGGCCUCACCGCCUUGGCAUACAAUGCUCCACUGACCCCGGCUGCCGCCGUGCAGUGACCGCACUUGUACCCACCAUAGCUAGCAUGGGGGACCCAGUCUCAGGUCGCAUGAGGGAUAAAGUCCGCGCCCGGCUUCACUCAGGUACUAGGUUUACCGGUUACCAUUUUUCCUGGCAUGUGCUUAGUACGUUCAAAAGCUUGACUCAGGUAUCCACACAUUAAUCCUUAAUUCAUUUUUCCCGUCUCAUGGAAAGGCAUCCUCCCUGUAUCCAAGUCCAUAGACUAACAUAUAUCCCAUUAUCAAGAUGAAUACAAUCAAUUCCUGACCUCACGCGAGUGCUAGAAAAAUCACUCGACUUCUACCGAGAUCCUGAUUAGCAAGCAGCUACUCGACUUAGCAUACUAGUAUUCAUCUCAAAAGGAAUCCUAAGUUCAUGCAACUAGAGGUUUCAAGCAACUCCUACACUUAAGUGCACAUUACAAUCCUACAAGCAUUAAGUGUAGUAAAGUAGCAUAUAAUAACAUGGUUAUGCAUAAAACCGGGGCUUGCCUUCAAUUGCUGGGGCUGCGGGGAGAUCCUCAAUAGCAGCCUCUGAAGCCUGCUCCUGGUCCUCCUCUUGGACAGGUCCUUGCUCGGGGAUGAGCACGUACUCUCCGUCGGCAAGAUUACAAUCUAAUGAAUGCAAUGCGUAAGAUGUAUGUAUGAUAUGAUAUGUGCUUUUAGAAAUCCAACUUUAAAGGUGCAUGAUCUUUCUUGAGUUAAACAAGGUUAACUUUACUUAUGUAAGACCCUUUAGUGGUAUACUUGGUAAAUUGGUUUAAACUUAGCUAAGGUAAGUAGAUUAAAUUUUUGGGGUUCCACUGAAUUCCUUUUAAGUCUUAGUGAGAAUUUAUAAGUACUCAAGUUAGACUUAUUGGGGUGGGGUUUAUUUCUUCUUUCCUUUUCUUUUAUUCUCUUUAAUGUUUUGGAGUAGGUUUAAACUACAAGUUGCUUUUAUAAAAUUCUAAAAAUUCUGCAAAAAUUACAGUGGCUUGUUACUGGUGUAUGUUUCUCUGUCUCAAAAUUUGGGGAUCAGAAAUUGUAUAGUUUUCUCUGGACAAAAUUAUUAAAUUCUAGGGCAGAAGGGGUGCUUUGAACUACAACUAUUAUUUAACAGUGGGAAAUUCUCCAAAACUUAUUUUUGCUGGCUUUUAAGUGUUAUAACAUGACUUGAUACAAAUUUCUAAUCAUUAAUACCUUUUAAUUAUUUUUCUAUGGUUUUCUCAAGUUUCUAGCCAAAUGGGUGCUUUCUACUACCACUAUAUUUGAAAAACAUCAAACAACAGGGUGCUUAUUUUUCUUAGUUAUUGUUUUGUGCAAGAGCAAUCAUUCUGAAGUUUGGCCUCUUUUUGCUUAAGGGAAGGGGUGGUAUGUAUUAUUUGAAUUAAGUGGCCUUUCUCUUAAAUCAUUAGCAAUUGGUAUGAGUUUGCUUCCUUUUCAUGGGUUGGCAUUUUUCUCUGGUAGUUAUCCCAUCAUGGACUUAGCAAAUUUUUGGUUGCCCAUUAUCACAUUAAUAGGGGUUGUUCAUGAUUUAUUUGGAAAAUGCCUUAUUAUCACUUUGUAUUUAUUUUCCUUACUUAAAAAGUUGGGCUGGGGUGCUCUGUAUUUUUGUAGUGGGGCUCUGGUGGUUGUAAGUCCACUAGAUUUUUAUUAAUCAUUUUGGUUAUAGUUUUGCUACUCUAAUAAUUGAUUCUCAGUCCAAAUAAGGCUAAAUAAAUCAUUUUAAUUUAAAACUGGUCCAAAUUAAUGGUCUCUGUAUUUUUCCUAGGUUCUCUGUUACAUAAGUAAACUAGGAAAAAUAAUCUUAAUCACUGUUCAUUAAUUUCUAAUGCCUUUCUGAUUUUCUCUAAAUUUUGGACAAAAUAGCUUUAAAUGAAUAACUACAUCAUAAUUUCUAAUGCUGGGGUUCCUACUAUUUUUAAACAGUGUCUAAAUGAGGUUUGAACAUCUACAAAUUUUCUUAAGUUCAGCACAGAAGAAAAACUAAUUUUCCUUAAUUAAGCAAGGUUUGGUGGGUUUCUGUUUUUAAUUAAAAACUCUAAAAAUUAGAACAGAAAGCAUAGGGUUUAUUAUUUUUAAAUGAUGGUUCAUAAUAUUCAGAAGCUAGCAAAAUUGGUUUGACAACUUUUGAUUAAGAAUUCAUCAAGUUAUAGAUUUUCUAAGUUCUCUGGUCAUUUUAAAAAGAUUAACAGAAUUGAUUAAAUGGAAAUCCACUUUUCACUGGGGUCCCUGGCGGGUUUUCUAAGUUUUCCUCGCGAAUCAGUCCUUAAGCUACUAUUCACAUGAGUCACUGACGUUUCAGAAAACCCCUCGGGUUCUACAAAUCCUAACUCGAGGUCCUUCUUCUACCUUAAACCGUAACCGCGGCAGAAGAAAGGGCGGAGGGGCUUACCGGCGGCGAGGUUGCUCCGGUGAAGUGGUCGAGGACGUAGGGGAGGUCUCGGGGAUCACAACGGUGUGCGGGUCGCCGUCGGAGAUGGCCGGAGUCGGUCGGUCCACGCGCGCAGGCGGGGAUGCUCGUCGGCGGCGAGGAGUCCGGCCUGGUCACGGCGAGAUAGAGCAAUUGGAUAGGUCAGAGAGGUUCCCGGGGUGCCAGAGAAGACAUGAGCGCAAGGAAUUGGGCGGAGACUCACUGGAUAGCUCGGUCCACACGCGGCGGCGGAAGACCAAAGUCCGGUGAGGUCGAUCUCGGGCCUCCGGUGAAGUCCGGCCGGGUCCGAGGGCUUGGCAAGCUUCACGGGCUACUGGCGGAGCUAGCCGAAGCACUGGCUUGCCCAGAGGAUGGCUGGAGUGGGAUGGCCACGAUGGCCGAAGCUCUAGCGGCAAUGGCGGGCGGAAUUGAGCUCGCCGGAGCUAAGGGAAAGUGGCUGGCCGGUGAGGGUGAGUGCGGGGCAAAGUGGGGCGCGCCUGGGAAGGCUUUAUAGGCACGGCGCGGUGCACGGGCGGUCGUGGACCGGCGAGUGCGCGCAGGCGUGCACUGGGAGGCGCGGUGCGCGAACGGGCGUGAACCGGGGGUGUCAGCCACGGUCGAACACGUGUUCCCGUUGCCUCUGCCCCUGUUCAAGCGCCGAUUGGGAGCAAAUCUUCGUGAAUUUGGGCAAGAUUGCUGUGAAGGAUUUGUUCACCUGACCAAGCUUUGUCUUUUGUGUAUGGACGUCGCGCGGUUUUAGGCUAGGGACAGGGAGUUGUAGCGUCACCAAGGUGCCAGUGUCAGAAUGCCUGGUCCCGAGGUCAAACUGCGCCAAAACCGUGUCAAAUGAAUUUGGUUUGAGUUCAAACUUUUCCAGGACGUGUUCAAGGGAAUUUGGCACAACUUUGAUAUUUGGAUCUCCUGGUUUUGAGUUUUGAAAAACAGAGAACGCAGAUGAUCUUUGGGAAGAGGUCUGAAAUUCAGAAAUUUGAAUUUCUCCAAGGGUUCAUAGUUCAAGGGCUGAUUUGGGGAUUUAUUUGAGUUAUUUUGGCUAAGCUUUCUCAAUCUUUCUUGUUGCUCAUUAAAUAUACUUUAAUUUUUAUAAUUGGCUCAAGUCAUAAUUUUAAACUUUUCAUUCCCUUUUUCUUAUUCUCUUGCAUUUUGCUUAUAGGGCUCACUUAGGGUUUUUAUUAGGGUUGCACAUUCCUAUCUUUUUAAAAGACUCAAUUGUUUUGAUCAUGAUACUUUUAAGUAUAUACUUGGUGAAUUCUUUAUUUCUUAAGUUAAUUUGAUGCUCAUGCUUACUUUGGUUCACAUGAAAUAAUGGUUCUUGGGUUGGUACUUGAGAGAAACCCUAGGUGACACUGGGGUGUCACACAUCUUUACCCACAAGUCAUGUUACACAUCUGCCAAGGGAUCACGACUUCCCAUACACCUCUACCAAGGAGGCGAGGCAGGGUAACACUACGAGGCCUUUUCAAAGUUCCACUAGCUUUAGAAAACCCAUACAGUUUCUAGGAAGCUCCAAUGCAGGGACCCCUCGCCUGACCGCCAUCGCAAUAAAAUCAACCCAAGGGCCUCCCUACACUGACCAAUCCCCUACUGCCCUUGCCCCUUUUGGGUAAGGUAGUCCUCCACUAGCUUUUCUAAUUAGUCAGCCAAGGUCGUUCCAUACCACCCUUGUGGUAGCACUAUUUUUCCGGGUGGUUCUCCAUGUUCCAAUUAACAUAAUGAUCUUACCAUAAACAGUAAAUAACAAACUAAUAAUAAAAGUGUGAUCAUGAAUAAUGUAUAUCUCCACACCCAAAACCACACAAAGUAAUAGCGGGUACUACCUAAAAAUUAAGUGGUAAACAAGGUAUAAAGAUAGUCAGACUAGGGUAACCUAUUGGGUCUCAUCAAAAUUAACCUAUGCAUUUUGUUAUGAUUAAUAAGAACAUGAUUGGGUAAAAAGAAGUGAUCAAGGGCACAACUUGCCUGGGACUUGAGAUUCCAGGUACCAACUUGCUCUUCAGGUGACUCGUAACCUCGCUGCUAGUCGUUGCAAUAUAGACAAACAUGGUAUAGGCAAAAUUAACAUCACACCAAACAUAAGUACAAACUGCAUAAUAAUGAUCUACGUGAUGCUACGAGAUCGUGGGAACGAGAAUCACUAAAUUCGGAUUUAUGGUUUAAGAGUUAUGAUUUUCUGAAGAUUUAAGUGUUUAAUAUAGAAUAAACUAAGUGUAUAAUUUUAAUCUAUGUUUCAUGACAAAAUAAGAUUACCAGAUGAUAAAUAAUAUUAUUAUGAAUGUAAUGCAACUAGAACGGAUCAAAAGGAGCUAGAAUGAAUUAAAUAUGAAUUAAACAAGUUUCGGGAAUUAUUUUUAUACUAAAAAUCAUUUUCUGAUUUAAUUAUGAAAAUUCCUAAUAAUUUUGGACUGUGGACAAAAUUUCCAGAGAGGUCAGGGUCGUUUUCGUUAAUUUCAAGGCCUCCCUGCAAUGAUUUUAAUAUUAACCUGGACGACGGGUUGAUUUAACUAUCUUUGGGGGUCUCUUUAGCAAAAGACCAUGGCUGAAAGGGUAUCGUGCGCUCAGAGCCGUUCGAUUAAAAGAUGACGGCGCAGAUGAGAUCAUGACUUAAAAUGAACCGGUACAAACUGUGGCCGUUAGAUCUAAAUCCUAGGUCCAGAUUCUAUGAAGCCCCAAUCCCAUCACAUCCGUCCGAUUAGAUCCGGUUGGCACAGAUUGAAACCCCGAAAAGGUAUAGCUUGACCUAAUCACAGCCGACGGUAUUUGAUCAGACGGCCAGGAGCCACACCCUCCUUCAAACCAGUCAGACGCGGCAGCGCCGCCUUCUUCUACGGCGAAGCCAUCGCCGGUGGUCAGCACAUUGGCUAACCCACGCACAACCUCGAAUACUGAACGGUCCUACAUGAAGUAUAGCAUAUGGCAAUUCUAGUGGCGUGUUGUUUACCUGAUGGGGUGGUGGCAGAUUGGCUAGCCAUGGCGUACGACGGCCACAAGGUACCGUAUGACGACGAUGAGGAAUUCCCCCUCACCCGGUUACCUCCACGCCCGGUGAGGCUUAUCACAAGACUCCACGAGUCACGACGAACUACUGCAGCCACACUUCAAGGGUCGGGCGGCAAUAGAAGGCAACCUUGACCGUGGCGGCUUGGAUCCCCCGCAAUAAUGGCGGCGAGGCCCCGGGUUCACGGUGAGGGUUCCGAUAGGGGAAGGGAGGUCGCAGGUGUGCGUUUUUUAACCCGGAGGCGCUGGCGGAUAAGCAGGCUUGGAACGAAAAAGGUG